rnacentral:lncRNA from 1 species
CUUAGGGCACCCAGCAAAAAGGUCAGGUGGCAGUCCUCAGAGAUCAGCCCCUGCCCCCUUCCCCCCCCCCCCCCCCGCCUCUCCCCCAGGCCAGGAGGUGGAGAAGAGAUGGAGGCCAUUGGCCAAGAUGGAGUGUUUGUCAGCCCUGGAAGCUGCGUGAUUCAGGAAAGGGAGGGGGAGUCACACUUCAGUGCCUGAGCACUGGGGCGGGAUGGGGGUGACGGGUGCAGCCACCGACCUCACCCCUACCUGCUAACCCAGCCCCUGACUGGCAGUUUGCCCAUCGGAAACAUGGCGGAUGCUGGCCUCACCUCAGGGCUGGGGGGGGUCCACCAAACACAUCUCCAUGGUCUCCAGCUCCCCAGCCAAGGACUUCCAGAGGGCUAACCUUGUCUUUCCAGCCCGCACAGCCAGGCCCUUCUCUCCCUGGGCUCGUGGAGAUGAUGAGGCAAUGAAUCUCAGGGUGCACAUCAACUCCUUCCUGCAAGCUGGGCCCCACUCCUGUCACCCACACCCCUCCCCCGUCCCUGAGCCUGGACAAGUGGAGUCCCCAGGGACACCCAGAAGCUGGGCUUCCCCCACCAGCCAAGGUGGCUCAGCGCGUGACACUGACCUCGCCCUUAACUCCUGCUUCUGGCCCAGGGGGAGCCUGGCUGGUGCGUGGGCAAGGGGUGGGAUGGGGGAGAAGGCAGUGGAUUCCAGACCAUGUUUAGCUCUGUGACCCAAGCGCCUUGCUACUCGCCUGGCUCCCUCUGAUGCCCCAUUCCUCAAGAAUUGCUCAAGGAGCUCCUCAAGGAAGCUCAAGGGCUUCCCCCUUAGCCCUGCCUUUCUGGUUCUGCGCUGGACACAUCCCUUCCCGGUGCCGGGCUACAGUCCUGGGGGUCAGCAGUGCACAGGAAGACAGAGUUCUGGGACUGGAAAUGACGUUGACCUUGCUCUGUCAAAGAUGCACUGGACACAGGAGCACGCCCAGCCCCUCAACCAGUGGCCAGAGCAGCACCUGGACGUCUCCUCCACCACGCCGUCGCCGGCUCACAAGCUGGAGCUGCCUCCGGGGGGUCGCCAGCGCUGCCACUACGCCUGGGCGCACGACGACAUCUCCGCUCUCACUGCCUCCAACCUUCUCAAACGUUACGCAGAGAAGUACUCGGGGGUCCUGGACUCGCCCUACGAGCGCCCCACCCUGGGCGGCUACGGCGACGCCGCCUUCCUCAACGGCGCCAAGGCGGACCCUGAGCCCUGGCCGGGGCCCGAGCCGCCCUAUCCUUUGGCUUCGCUCCACGAGGGCCUCCCGGGAACCAAGUCGGGCGGUGCGGGCGGUACCGGGGGCCUCGCGGGCUCCCCGGUUUUAGCGGGGAACUUGCCUGAACCCCUGUACGCCGGCAACGCCUGCGGGGCCACGUCGGCGGCGCCCGAGUACGCGGCCGGCUACGGCGGCGGGUACCUGGCGCCCGGUUACC